CCGAACACAAAUCUUAUGAUGCCCGCAAGCGCGUCUCGUAACCUCCCUCCCUCCACAGUUCGUCGAUCGCGUGUUUCGUCUCCCGGAGAUUGCGAUCCUCUUCGCGAGCCUGCGGUCGGGCUCUCAGAAGAAGCAUCACCGUCGAGCUCGCGAGAAGGCGGUGGCUGUCCCCUCUCUCUCUGACUGCUCUCAUCACGAUUUUUUUAAUUAUGAAUAAAUGAGAGAUGAAUUAAGGUUUGCUUGUUGAUUUUAGGGAAAAGGAACCGUUUUUGCGGCUAAUGGUAUGAUUUUUUAGCUCUGCAACUAAUUUUGUCGUCGGCCAAUUGAUGUUGCUGUUCUGAUCGUUCUUCGGUUCUUGUAUCCUCCUUCGGCUAUUAGUUUUUAGCGCCUCUUUAAUUCAUGAUUACCCUGGAUCCAGAAUCUUCGCAAUUCCUUCAUUCAUUCACCGUAGAAAAUUAGUCCUGUUCCUGGGUAACUGAAAACGUUGAGGGCAGGUGUUUUGAGUAACGGGUAGAUGGGAUUUGCUCAUUUUCUCUUCACUACAAGAAUUUGAUGUGGUGAUUGUUCAUGUUGGCAUCAAAAGUGGUAAUAUCCAAGAUUGUUGUGCUCAUAUCAACCAGUUAUGAUCUAUGAAUGAAUGCUACGAAUUCGUUUCCUUUUUUCUUCUAUGAUAUAUUGAUAUGCUGCAGUGCAGAUGGAAGAUAUGGAUUGGUGGUUGUGCUCCUUUUGAGUUUGGAAAUGCUCAUCCUUUCGUUGAAAUCAUUCUCUUGUUUUGGAGACAACUAGGACCAUCUUACUUUGUGCUAAAUUGGCUGUCCUGACAUGCUUUUAAACAAAGAGAUUAACAAAAAACUUUCUUUAAAUAGCUUAUGAGACACACAAAUAUGGACUAAUGAGUAAGAUGUUUCUACUAAUAUGCUCACAUGAAGCUUGCUAAAGGCAUAUUGCUUGAUUUUUUGAAUGAGGUUUUUUACUGCUUCCACAAGGACUUAAAGUUUCAUUUACCCAAAGGUGAUGAGCUUCCAUCAGGGGUACUAUCUUAUGAGAGUAAGGUUCGCUGUACCGUACCGUACCGACGUUUCGACCCGGGCUCGAUACGGUACGGUACCAGUGUACCGGGCGGUACAUCAGGGCAUACCGAGCGCACACCCUGGUGUACCGAAUAAUUUUUUAUUUUUUUUUCAUACUGUAGCAGUGCUAUAGUAUAGUACUGUAGCAUUGUAGCGGUACCGGGCGGUUCGCGUAUCGGUAACCUGUAGGACCGGUACGUACCGCUCGGUACGGGCGGUAUGCUUCAGUACGACAGACCUUAUAUGAGAGUAUAUGUCAUUGGUAACAAGCAUUUCUGGUUGUUGACUGAUCAAGAUGAUGUCAACAUUAGUUUUUAUCCAUUUAUUUGCAUCUCUGCUUGAUGGUAAUGGCAGGGCACAUCAUUUUUACUUAGUCAUUUGUGUCAGCACACUGGUCAGCCUUACACCACAAUGGUAAUAGAGUAUAUGAUAUAGCUAAUAAGAAUGUGGUUGACCGAUCAGGAUUAUGCCAACAUGAUAUUUUCACCCAUUUUUAAUAUUUAUGGUAGUAUCUGGGCAUAUCAUUUUUAUUUAGUCAUGAGUUUUGGUAUAGUGAUUAGCCUUUCACCUUUUUCUUCCUCAGGAAAAUCCAGAAGAAGUAGAUCAGCUUUUGCACAACACUUGGUUCGAAAUGCAUGCAGCAGUGUGGUCAGGUUGGCAUUCACCAAAAUCUCAGAAACACUUCUGCAAGCACACAACAGUUAGGAUUUGGUUCAGACAGUGCGCAAAAUAGUGGCACCUCAUUCCUUUCUCUGGCUAAGGGAAGUAAGAGACUGAGAAGUUAUUACCAUUUGGAGCCUAUCAAGCAAGAUCAAGGCACAGAGCAAGUCAAGCAAGAUCGGGGAACAGAAACCAUCAAAGAAGAGCAUUCUGAUAGACCUGAUGAUGAUGAUUCCGUUACCUUUAUGUUUGACAACAUAAAAACAGAGAUUGUUUAAAUAACAGAAAUAGAUGGUUCAGAUAGUGUGCAAAAUAGUGGCACCUCAUUCCUUUCUCAUGCCAAGGAAAGUAAGAGGCUGAGAAGUGAUUACCAUUUGGAGCUUAUCAAGUGAGAUCAAGGCACAGAGCCUGUAAAGCAAGAUCAGGGAGCAGAAACCAUCAAGUAAGAGUAUUCUGGUAAACCUGAUGAUGGUUGAUUCCAUUACCUUUAUGUUUGACAACAGACAGGCAGAGAGUGGCAAAAUGCAGAAAGAGGUGGGGUUGUCAGCGAUGAAGGGGUUGAGAAGUUGGUGAAUCUAAUGCAACUUGGUAAAACUGAAAAAAUAGAUUUGUUUGGUCAGAUAAUGCUUUGUGCAGUUGGAAGUUGCCUGUAAACCUAAAUGCUCUGCAGAUUUGUAACAUUGUUAAGUCGGUGAAUAAUUUGUGCAGUCACAAUAAUAUGUAGAUCCAGAGGAAAGCUAGGAGUCUUGUUUGGCACUUGGAAGAAACAGGUUGAAGCUGAAAUGUCAAAAAUUGAUGCGAAUUCUGUCAGGCAGCCUGUUUCAGGGCCAGUCAAACCAGGUUAUUCUUAUGUUACUGAAGGAAUUAAGAAAUAAACGCACUGGAUCAACUAGAACAUCAGCAUGCAAACCUCUGCCUGGUAAACCUGCAACAUGAGAUUUUACUAUGAAGUCAAAUUUACCUGCAAAGUUGCUGCUGCUAGUGUGUGUUCAGAGUUGCCUACCAUAACAGUUUAGGAUGAGAAGAGCAGUGUUCCAAAUCAGUCUAAAAAACAAAAGCCAAUUUUGUUCUACUGAUCAAGGUUAUCACAGGUGGAAAAAGCAUCACAAUUUGCACAAACAUGUGAAAAACCAUUUGAUAUGCAUGUUGGUGAUCAUGGAAUGUUGCCGCAAACUGAUUGUUAGGAUUCAUAACCCUGGGCUUUGCCAAAGCCCUGUACAUAGUGCCAGUGGCUGCUCUUUUGAGGACCCAGUGGUUACGGGCAAUAAGUAGAUCAUAAUGAUUAUAAAUUGAAGGAACAAGUAGCCAUUCUUGAUGAAGAAACAGCAGAAAUGUUGAGGAAACUGGUAAGGUUGCAGACCCUACUAAAACUGCCUGUUCAUCUUCUCCAAAUGAAAAUGGAGUUCCCUUGACUGAAUUGAGUACAAGAAUUGCUUUUAGUUCUAUGCAUGUCUUGAACCUUCAGCUGUUGAAGAUAAUAUGGGGUUGAAUCUACUUGCUGCGAGAUGACUGACUCAAGAUCUGGGCCGUAAGUUUACACGAUCCGAAGGCCUACUUCAAGUCUGACCGAUCUGGGUCAAUCCCACAAAUGGGCUCUAAUAGUGGAAUUAUAAAGUGAAAGUAUUAAUAAAUCUCUGAAUAUUAUUAGGAUUCAA